rnacentral:rRNA from 1 species
UACGUAGGGGGCAAGCGUUGUCCGGAAUCAUUGGGCGUAAAGAGCGCGUAGGCGGUCCGGUAAGUCAGCUGUGAAAGUCGGGGGCUCAACCCCCGGAGGCCGGUUGAUACUGCCGGGCUAGAGUCCGGAAGAGGCGAGUGGAAUUCCUGGUGUAGCGGUGAAAUGCGCAGAUAUCAGGAGGAACACCAAUGGCGAAGGCAGCUCGCUGGGACGGUACUGACGCUGAGGCGCGAAAGCGUGGGGAGCAAACAGGAUUAGAUACCCUGGUAGUCCACGCCGUAAACGAUGGACACUAGGUGUGGGAGGUGUCGACUCCUCCCGUGCCGGAGCUAACGCAUUAAGUGUCCCGCCUGGGGAGUACGGCCGCAAGGCUAAA